rnacentral:rRNA from 1 species
UACGUAGGGUGCGAGCGUUGUCCGGAAUUACUGGGCGUAAAGAGCUCGUAGGUGGUUUGUCGCGUUGUCCGUGAAAACUCACAGCUCAACUGUGGGCGUGCGGGCGAUACGGGCAGACUUGAGUACUGCAGGGGAGACUGGAAUUCCUGGUGUAGCGGUGGAAUGCGCAGAUAUCAGGAGGAACACCGGUGGCGAAGGCAGGUCUCUGGGCCACUACUGACGCUGAGAAGCGAAAGCAUGGGGAGCGAACAGG